GGGGAUUUAGCUCAGAGGUAGAGCACAUGCCUAGGAAGCGCAAGGCCCUGGGUUCGAUCCCCAGCUCCG
rfam:Rattus norvegicus chromosome 11, whole genome shotgun sequence.